rnacentral:rRNA from 1 species
CCCUUAGAUGUUCUGGGCCGCACGCGCGCUACACUGACUGGUGCAACAAGUGUCGCUCCUUGGCCGAUAGGCCUGGGCAAUCUUUGAACGCCAGUCGUGAUGGGGAUAGAUUCUUGCAAUUUUUGAUCUUCAACGAGGAAUUCCUAGUAAACGCGAGUCAUCAACUCGCAUUGAUUACGUCCCUGCCCUUUGUACACACCGCCCGUCGCACCUACCGAUUGAAUGGUCCGGUGAACCCUCCGGAUCGGCCCGCGCCAACGCAAGUUGAGCAAAGGCCGAGAAGUUGGGUAAACCUUACCAUGUAGAGGAAGGUGAAGUCGUAACA